rnacentral:misc_RNA from 1 species
AACGCAAGUUGCGCCCGAGGCUUCUGGCCAAGGGCACGUCUGUCUGGGCGUCACGCAUCGCAACCCCCCACAACCACUUCGGUAGUUGAGGGGAGGAGGAUGGUUUCCCGUGCCUCACCGGGCGCGGUUGGCCUAAAUAAGGAGCCUAAGGCAUCGGGUUGCCGCGGCGAUAGGUGGAGUACAAGGUCUCGGCCGUGGAAUCAACCGGUCGCGCAACCCUUUGAAUGUAAAGCUCGAAGGACCCAUUGUUGUCGCUUUGUUGCGUCACAAACGUUGCGACCCCAAGUCAGGCGGGGCUACCCGCUGAAUUUAA